rnacentral:rRNA from 1 species
AGUGAAGCGGCAACAGCUCAAAUUUGAAAUCUGGUCCCCUCUGGGGGCCCGAGUUGUAAUUUGAAGAGGAUGCUUUUGGCGAGGCGCCUUCCGAGUGCCCUGGAACGGGACGCCACAGAGGGUGAGAGCCCCGUAUGGUAGGACGCCGAGCCUCUGUAAAGCUCCUUCGACGAGUCGAGUAGUUUGGGAAUGCUGCUCAAAAUGGGAGGUAAACCCCUUCUAAAGCUAAAUAUUGGCCAGAGACCGAUAGCGCACAAGUAGAGUGAUCGAAAGAUGAAAAGCACUUUGAAAAGAGAGUUAAACAGCACGUGAAAUUGUUGAAAGGGAAGCGCUUGCGACCAGACUUGCGCCCGUCGGAUCAACCGUCCCUCGUGGGCGGCGCACUCCGGCGGGCUCAGGCCAGCAUCAGUUUUCCCGGGGGGAGAAAGGCGGUGGGAAUGUGGCUCUUCGGAGUGUUAUAGCCCGCCGCGUAAUGCCCUCGGGGGGACUGAGGACCGCGCGUAUGCAAGGAUGCUGGCGUAAUGGUCGUCAGCGACCCGUCUUGAAACACGGACCAAGGAGUCGUCCUAAUAUGCGAGUGUACGGGUGUAAAACCCCUGCGCGUAAUGAAAGUGAACGGAGGUGAGAGCUUCGGCGCAUCAUCGACCGAUCCUGAUGUUCUCGGAUGGAUUUGAGUAAGAGCAUAUUGGGCCGGACCCGAAAGAAGGUGAACUAUGCCUGUAUAGGGUGAAGCCAGAGGAAACUCUGGUGGAGGCUCGCAGCGGUUCUGACGUGCAAAUCGAUCGUCAAAUAUGGGCA